CCUACGGGAGGCAGCAGUGGGGAAUUUUGGACAAUGGGCGCAAGCCUGAUCCAGCAAUGCCGCGUGCAGGAAGAAGGCCUUCGGGUUGUAAACUGCUUUUGUCAGGGAAGAAAUCCUCUAGGCUAAUACCCUUGGGGGGAUGACGGUACCUGAAGAAUAAGCACCGGCUAACUACGUGCCAGCAGCCGCGGUAAUACGUAGGGUGCAAGCGUUAAUCGGAAUUACUGGGCGUAAAGCGUGCGCAGGCGGCUUUGCAAGACAGAUGUGAAAUCCCCGGGCUCAACCUGGGAACUGCAUUUGUGACUGCAAGGCUAGAGUACGGUAGAGGGGGAUGGAAUUCCGCGUGUAGCAGUGAAAUGCGUAGAUAUGCGGAGGAACACCAAUGGCGAAGGCAAUCCCCUGGACCUGUACUGACGCUCAUGCACGAAAGCGUGGGGAGCAAACAGGAUUAGAUACCCUGGUAGUCCACGCCCUAAACGAUGUCAACUGGUUGUUGGACGGCUUGCUGUUCAGUACGAGCUAACGNGUGAGUGACCGCGUGGGUGUCGCGCGUAGUUAGUUAAGUAAGUUAGUUGNGNGNGAGACGNGCGACGGACGACGACGAGGGAGGAGG
rnacentral:rRNA from 1 species